rnacentral:rRNA from 1 species
AUUGAACGCUGGCGGCAGGCCUAACACAUGCAAGUCGAGCGGAUGAAGGGAGCUUGUUCUUGGAUUCAGCUGCGGGCGGGCGAGUAAUGCAUAGGAAUCUGCCUUGUAGUGGGGGAUAGGUCCGGAAAGGGGCGCCGAUACCGCAUACGUCCAGAGGGAGUAAGUGGGGGGUCUUAGGACCUAACGCUGUUAGGUGAGCCUUGGUCGGAUUAGCUAGUUGGCGGGGUAAAGGCGUACCAAGGCGACGAUCCGUAACUGGCCUGAGAGGAUGAUCAGCCACACUGGAACUGAGACACGGUCCAGACUCCUACGGGAGGCAGCAGUGGGGAAUCUUGCACAAUGGGCGAAAGCCUGAUCCAGCCACGCCGCGUGAGUGAAGAAGGUCUUCGGAUUGUAAAACACUUUUAGUUGGGAGGAAGAACAGUAAGUUAAUACCUUGCUGUUUUGACGGUACCAACAGAAUAAGCACCGGCUAACUUCGUG